rnacentral:rRNA from 1 species
GACGAACGCUGGCGGCGUGCUUAACACAUGCAAGUCGAACGGAAAGGCCCUGCUUUUGUGGGGGUCUCGAGUGGCGAACGGGUGAGUAACACGUGAGUAACCUGCCCGUGGCUUGGGGAUAACUUCAGGAAACUGGGGCUAAUACCGGAUAGGAGCUCGGGCUGCAGGGUGGGGGUUGGAAAGUUUCGGCGGUUGGGGAUGGACUGGCGGCUUAUCAGCUUGUGGGUGGGGUAGUGGCUUACCAAGGCUUUGACGGGUAGCCGGCCUGAGAGCGUGACCGGCCACAUUGGGACUGCGAUACGGCCCAGACUCGUACGGGGGGCAGCAGUGGAGAAUAUUGCACAAUGGGCGGAAGCCUGAUGCAGCAACGCCGCGUGCGGGAUGACGGCCUUCGGGUUGUAAACCGCUUUAGCCUGUGACGAAGCGUGAGUGACGGUAAUGGGUAAAGAAGCACCGGCUAACUACGUG